AAGUCGUAACAAGGUUUCCGUAGGUGAACCUGCGGAAGGAUCAUUAACACGUAUCCAAACGUUAAAACAACCCUGUGAACCUUCAGCGUGUUCUUGCAGGACAUCAAAACAGCAAUCCCGAGUAAAUCAGGCGCUAAAGAAUUACAGAUUUUGAUUUUGGGAAGUUCUGUGUGUACGUGGACGCUGCAAUUGAGCGCUAGAUAAAGCACCCUGGUACCCUAGAGCACUCCCCUGUCUGAAAGCGUCAGGGAUCAAUGUUCCGGGGUGGAGGCGAAAGCCCCUACGUCAUCCCUAUGUACCCUCCGGGACUUGGCGAAAGCUGACUCCGUCAUAAAUCGAACAACUGUUAACAAUGGAUAUCUUGGUUCUC
rnacentral:misc_RNA from 1 species